rnacentral:rRNA from 1 species
UACGUAGGGGGCUAGCGUUGUCCGGAUUUAUUGGGCGUAAAGAGCGUGUAGGCGGCCAGGUAGGUCUGGUGUGAAAACUCGAGGCUUAACCUCGAGAUGUCAUCGGAAACCAUUUGGCUAGAGUCCGGGAGAGGUGAGUGGAACUGCGAGUGUAGAGGUGAAAUUCGUAGAUAUUCGCAAGAACACCAGUGGCGAAGGCGGCUCACUGGCCCGGUACUGACGCUGAGGUGCGAAAGCGUGGGUAGCGAACAGG